rnacentral:lncRNA from 1 species
GGAAACCGUAGGUUCUGAAACUCACCGGAAUAAGGUCACAGACGUCGGAAAGUUACCCAAAAUGUCAAUCAAGCAAAGACAAAGUCAUCGGAUAACACCAAAGCUCUAGGUCCCAAAGUCGGAAAACCCUAGAAUUUGAAGAACUCGUCGGAAUAAAACCAGGGAUGCCGGAAAAUUACCCAAAACACCCAUUGAUACAAGAUCGGAACCCAGAAUAACAAGAAAAUCCCAAUUAUCCGCUCAACAUUCGUUGAAACAUCUGCGAACAGUAUCUCUCACCAAUAACCAUAAAAAAACUUCAGCAAAAACUUCAAACGAGAUCGAUAACACGCAACCGAGAAGGAUUUGAAGAUCAUCCGGCUCUGAUACCAUGAAAACAUAUAGAUUUGAAGGCAAAAAUGACGAAGAAC